rnacentral:lncRNA from 1 species
UAUACUAUUUUCUUUUUUUUUUUUUUUUUUAGAGUGGAAAAUAGAAGUUUAUUAAAGGACAGCAGAAAAGACUUCUCCUGGAGGAAGAAGGGGACCCAAGAAGUGGAAUCCAUGGAAGUGUGUCCCAUCCGGCAGGACACAUCAACGUGGGCAGCGAACCUAGAUGGGGAGGAAUGAAGGGACAAGAGACACGAAAGGAGACAGCAAGACAGGUGUCUGAUCAAGCUGCCACUUAUACUAUUUUCUUUUUGUCAUAUAAUUAUCUUCUAUGUGUGAAUUCUUUUCAAAAGGUACGAAGCAAGAUCUUAUCAUUCACAUUAGUUUGCAUCCUUACACUUAAAUUAUCUUGGAGACCUUUCUAUAUUAGCAUAUAUAAUUCUAUUUUCUUCUUUUAAACAAUUACAUAAUAAUCCAUUUACAGCUGUCCCACAUUGUUUGUUUCCUGCUUAUGGGCAUUUACUUUGUUUUCAGCUGUUUGCUUUUUUUUUUUUUUUAAUACUUAUUUUUUAGAUGUAGCUGGACACAAUAUCUUUACUUUUUUAUUUUUAUGUGGUGCUGAGGAUCGAACCCAGGGCCUCACACACACUAGACAAGCACUGUACCUUUGAGCCACAACCUCAGCCCCUCAGCUGUUUAUGUUUAUCAACUAAAUGUAAUGAAUUAACAUUGCAUACAUAUUCUUGCAUAAUUAUAUAUAUGAACAUAUUGGCAGGAUAAAUUCCUAACAGUGGAAUUCCUGGGUGUAUGGAGUAUACGUACUUUUAAAAAACAAUUUUUUUUUUUUUUUAGUUGUAGAUGGACACAAUACCUUCAUGUAUUUUUAUGUGGUGCUGAGAAUCAAACCCAGUGCCUCAGACAUUAGGCAAGCGCUCUACCACUAAGCUACAACCCCAGCCCUGUACAUUUUGGUAAAUACUGACAAAUUGCCUUCCGAAAUGGUCUUGCUAAUUUACAUUUCCACAAACAGUGUAAAAUAUAAUAUCACAAACUCACCAUUACUGGUUUAAGUUUGUGAUAUUAUAUUAAUCUUAAGUAAUGAAACAUUCUUUUUUUUAAGAGAGAGAGAGAGAGAAUUUUUUUUUAAUAUUUAUUUUUCAGUUUUUGGUGGACACAACAUCUUUAUUUUAUUUUAUGUAGUGCUGAGGAUCGAACCCAGCACCCUGCACAUGCCAGGCGAGCGUGUUACCACUUGAGCCUCAUCCCCAGCCCAUGAAACAUUCUUUUGUUUUCAUUUGA